ACUUGAGUGUGGCAGAGCAGCUCUGGCCUUGAAGGGGGCCAGCUGCUCAGGCUCCAGAACCAGCUCCAGCACCCUUUGGCAUCUCAAGGACACCCUAAAAGAGUUUAGUAUAUGAGCACCAGCUUCAAAGAGGCCACACAAUGAUUGUGGUGGAUCAACAAAAAGAACAACACUCUAUGAUCGUGUCUGUAUGAACUAAAAUAAAAUCUUAAAGCCCUCCAGCUGUGAUGGAAUGGACGCUGUCUUGGCAAAGGGGACCGCAGACAAAACCUUGAGGCUCAGAUACUGGCUAUGAAAAGCUGGUGCUCACACCUGGGAUUGAAUGAAGUCUCAGGAUUCCGUGAAGGCCCGACAUCAGUGCCAGGAAGCAGCACGGUCCCCUCGAGCCACCUGACUACCAGCUUUCCCUUGGGCAGAACUGGAACAUGGUCACAAAUAUUCACCUCAGAAUCAAACUCAGAUAUUUUUCAGAGUUUGGGUUUGUUUUUAUUGACAAGAUGGUGCCAAGACGUGGGGCUACAAGAAGACUGAGGACACGCUCAAGGAGUAGAUCACCAGCAGCAAAAGGUAAAGGAAUCGCCCCAAUAGGGCGCAGAUCUGCUCCAAAAUUUACCUAGAGCUGAACUGGUAAGUGCUGCUGAGGCCCAGAACUCACUAUCUUGAUAGGUAGUAUUGGUUUAUUCUGACUUGUCAAUACUUUAACUAGGAAGUUGUUUAGAAGGGUCCUGAUUUUGACUUGGAGGUGCACUAUAAUGGAGUGUUCACCAUUGAUUACUUCUUUCUCUGCAAAUUGAUCUGAAUUGGCUUUUCUGGCCAUUUGUGAAAUGAAAGAGGAAACCGAACUGUCCUGUUUGUAGAUAAAUGAGAGACUGAGGUUCCUCAGCUCCGAAGAGAAAGGGCAUUUACCUGUCCCAGCCAAAGGUAUGCCUGGGUGAGUAGGGGUGCCAGUGGGAGUGCUUGAGGAGACUGCCCAUGGCGUGGUGUGACUUGGUGUGACGUGGCCCUAUAGGGAAUCCCCAACAAGAUUAUUUAAAAGAAGGCUCCUCCAGGAAACGCACAUAAGAGCUGAUCACUCAGCGUUUUGAGCCCUCUCAGAGGUGUUAGACCCCUGGAGAGAGAACCUGAGGCCCAUGUGAGAGGCGGGAAAUGACUCAGUGGUGAAUCCCUGUGCAGUCCUGCCCACAAUCAGCACACUCUGAUCCACGACACUGACCCCUAGACCACAGUUCGGUUGCUUCUUGUAAAGAAAAA